rnacentral:rRNA from 1 species
UACGGAGGGUGCGAGCGUUGUCCGGAAUCACUGGGCGUAAAGGGCGCGUAGGCGGUUCGGUAAGUUGCUGGUGAAAUCCCGGGGCUCAACUCCGGGGCUGCCGGCACGACUGCCGGACUAGAGCACGGUAGGGGCAGAUGGAAUUCCCGGUGUAGCGGUGGAAUGCGUAGAGAUCGGGAAGAAUACCAGUGGCGAAGGCGACCGCCUGGCCCAACACUGACGCUGAGGUGCGAAAGCGUGGGUAGCAAACAGGAUUAGAAACCCGUGUAGU